rnacentral:rRNA from 1 species
UACGAAGGGGGCUAGCGUUGCUCGGAAUCACUGGGCGUGAAGGGUGCGUAGGCGGGCCUUUAAGUCAGGGGUGAAAUCCUGGAGCUCAACUCCAGAACUGCCUUUGAUACUGAAGAUCUUGAGUUCGGGAGAGGUGAGUGGAACUGCGAGUGUAGAGGUGAAAUUCGUAGAUAUUCGCAAGAACACCAGUGGCGAAGGCGGCUCACUGGCCCGAUACUGACGCUGAGGUGCGAAAGCGUGGGGAGCGAACAGG